UGGGGAAUAUUGCACAAUGGGCGCAAGCAUGAUGCAGCCAUGCCGCGUGUGUGAAGAAGGCCUCCGGGUUGUAAAGCACUUUCAGCGGGGAGGAAGGCGAUAAGGUUAAUAACCUUGUCGAUUGACGUUACCCGCAGAAGAAGCACCGGCUAACUCCGUGCCAGCAGCCGCGGUAAUACGGAGGGCGCAAGCGUUAAUCGGAAUUACUGGGCGUAAAGCGCACGCAGGCGGUCUGUCAAGUCGGAUGUGAAAUCCCCGGGCUCAACCUGGGAACUGCGUUCGAAUCUGGCAGGCUAGAGUCUUGUAGAGGGGGUUAGAAUUCCAGUUUUAGCGGUGAAAUGCGUAGAGAUCUGGAGGAAUACCGGUGGCGAAGGCGGCCCCCUGGACAAAGACUGACGCUCAGGUGCGAAAGCGUGGGGAGCAAACAGU
rnacentral:rRNA from 1 species